rnacentral:misc_RNA from 1 species
CAAUAAGUGUUUUUAUGGCACUUUAAAAAUCCAUAUCCACCUUGUGUGCAACGUUUUGAGCUCUUUUUGUCAUUUCGCCGGUCGCAGAACGUUUGUUCUACAGCCGCGGAAGGUACGAUAAGGAGGGCUUUUUAUACCUUAACUCUUGAUCUUUAACAACUUUGUCUGAAAAGCUAUUGCGAAUUAACUUAAUUCAAAAUAAAUA